UGAUUACUGGCAUCUGGUGGAUUGAACAAAUGCAGAAAACAUGCCCCAAUAGAAAAAGAAUGUUGUUUUUUAUCACCUUUUUCUUCAGAUUUUCCCUCUUCCUACACAUUCACAGACUUAUGAGCAAAUCUGUAAGGCAGACGAAACAGGGAGAAUGUCGCUGGCCCAUAGUCAUCCAUUGAACUUUGUGGCUGAACAUCAACUUGAAUCUGGAUCUUCCUGAAGAAAAUCGAUGUCAGAUAGACUCUCUUCAGAACCAGCCAUUGGAGAUUCCCUUGUGUAAGAUAGCCAAAGCUUGAGAAAGAUAAAUUCUGCAUUUGUCUAUCUGGGUCUUAUUUUUAUUGCCACCAGCAUGUCAUUUCUUAUUUUCUCAGAAGGAGGGAGCCCUGACUGAGUGGGCAAUAGCCAUCUACUGAGAGAUGGGGUCAAGACAAUGCUUGUGUUACAUCAUUUUAGUCCUCAGUAGACAAUUGACCUACAAUGGAACCCUUGUUUGGGAUCCUCUCUUCCUUGAGAUUUAUUUUUCUUCUAAAGUUGGCCUGUGUUUCCUGACCGCUUAGUCUCAAAUGCCACUGAUACUGUACCCCUGAGCUACUUUUCUCCUGAAUGGCUUUAUAGCAA